UACGUAGGGUGCAAGCGUUAUUCGGAAUUACUGGGCGUAAAGCGUGCGCAGGCGGUUAUGCAAGUCAGAUGUGAAAUCCCCGGGCUCAACCUGGGAACUGCAUUUGUGACUGCAUGGCUGGAGUGCGGCAGAGGGGGAUGGAAUUCCGCGUGUAGCAGUGAAAUGCGUAGAUAUGCGGAGGAACACCGAUGGCGAAGGCAAUCCCCUGGGCCUGCACUGACGCUCAUGCACGAAAGCGUGGGGAGCAAACAGG
rnacentral:rRNA from 1 species